GUCAGUUUGGCUUAUAACACAUCACUCUGUCCAGUACUGAGUCCUCCUUGUCAACUUAGGUUUCUUGUAGUUUCAGGAAAGGAAACACCCAACAACUUUGUUGGUUAUAUAGUCAAAGGUGCUUGAGUCAUUGGUGUGUGAGAACUAUAUAACUGAAUAAUUGUUAGCCUUAGGUUCUGACAGAAGUGUCAUGCAACUUGCUGUUAUUUUUUGACUUGACUAGUAUGGAGAUACU